rnacentral:rRNA from 1 species
AACGAACGCUGGCGGCAUGCCUAACACAUGCAAGUCGAACGAGACCUUCGGGUCUAGUGGCGCACGGGUGCGUAACGCGUGGGAACCUGCCCUUAGGUUCGGAAUAACUCCCCGAAAGGGGUGCUAAUACCGGAUAAUGUCUUCGGACCAAAGAUUUAUCGCCUUUGGAUGGGCCCGCGUUGGAUUAGCUAGUUGGGAGGGUAAAAGCCUACCAAGGCGACGAUCCAUAGCUGGUCUGAGAGGAUGAUCAGCCACACUGGGACUGAGACACGGCCCAGACUCCUACGGGAGGCAGCAGUGGGGAAUAUUGGACAAUGGGCGAAAGCCUGAUCCAGCAAUGCCGCGUGAGUGAAGAAGGCCUUAGGGUUGUAAAGCUCUUUUACCCGGGAUGAUAAUGACAGUACCGGGAGAAUAAGCUCCGGCUAACUCCGUG